GAUGAACGCUAGCGGCAGGCUUAACACAUGCAAGUCGAGGGGUAGAGGCUUUCGGGCCUUGAGACCGGCGCACGGGUGCGUAACGCGUAUGCAAUCUGCCUUGUACUGGGGGAUAGCCCAGAGAAAUUUGGAUUAAUACCCCAUAGUAUUUUCGGUUGGCAUCAACUGAUUAUUAAAGUUUUUCGGUACAAGAUGAGCAUGCGUCCCAUUAGCUAGUUGGUAUGGUAACGGCAUACCAAGGCUACGAUGGGUAGGGGUCCUGAGAGGGAGAUCCCCCACACUGGUACUGAGACACGGACCAGACUCCCACGGGAGGCAGCAGUGAGGAAUAUUGGUCAAUGGUCGCAAGACUGAACCAGCCAUGCCGCGUGCAGGAUGAAGCAUCUAUGGUGUGUAAACUGCUUUUGUACGGGAAGAAACACUCCUACGUGUAGGAGCUUGACGGUACCGUAAGAAUAAGGAUCGGCUAACUCCGUGCCAGCAGCCGCAGUAAUAC
rnacentral:rRNA from 1 species